AACUUUCAACAACGGAUCUCUUGGCUCUCGUAUCGAUGAAGAACACAGCGAAAUGUGAUAAGUAAUGUGAAUUGCAGAAUCCUCUGAAUCAUCAAAUCUUUGAACGCC
rnacentral:rRNA from 1 species